CUGCUCUUGGGGUUGGUGCUGGAGCUCUCCCGCUCUUCCUCCUCCUCUUCCUUUCCUCUUCCUCCUCCUCCUCCUCCUCCCCUUCAGUUCCUUCUCCUCUUCAUCCUCCUCUUCAUCUUCAUCCUCCUCAUCCUCAGGGUGCCCCUGGCCUGUCCCCGCUUUCUGCUCUUCCUCCUCUUCCUCUUCCUGUUCUUCCUCAUCUUCGUCUUCUUCUCCUCUUCCUCAUCUUCAUCCUCUCUUCUUUCUCCUCUUCCUCUUCUUCCUCUUCAUCUCCUUCUGCUCUUCCUCCUCUUCCUCCUCCUCUUCCCCUCCCCCCGCUCAGGUUCAGGGUUUGGGAUUUCCCCUCCCCCCUCCAGGGCCCCAAAAUCCCCAAUUCCCGAAAUUCCUGAAAUCCCAGGAAUUCUCCCCAAAACCCCAAAAUCCUGGGAAUCGACCCCAAAAUCCCCAAAACUCCAGGAAUUUGCCCCAAAAUCCCCAAAUCCCAAAAAUCCCAAAUUCACCCAAACCCCCACAUUCCCAAGGAUUGGCCCCAAACCCCCAAAACCCCCGGGAAUUUCACCCCCAAAAACCCCCGGGAAUUUCACCCCAAAAACCCCCGGGAAUUCACCCCAAAAACCCCCGGGAAUUCACCCCCAAAAAUCCCCGGAAUUCACCCCAAAAUCCCGGAAUUCACCCCAAAAUCCCCGGAAUUCACCCCAAAAUCCCAGGAAUUCACCCCAAAAUCCCCGGAAUUCACCCCAAAAUCCCCGGAAUUCACCCCAAAAUCCCGGGAAUUCUCCCCGGUGGGUUCCGUGUGCUCCUUCCUCGGGGCCUUUUCCGGGCUUUUUUCUGGGAAUUCCGGGGAUUUUUGGGGGAAUUUUGGGGCUUUUUGGGCAAUUCUGGCGGUUUUUGGGGGGGAAUUCCGGGGAUUUUUUGGGGCUUUUUGGGAAUUCCGGGGAUUUUUUGGAAUUUUUGGGAAUUCCGGGGAUUUUUUUGGGAAUUCCGGGGAUUUUUUGGGGAUUUUUUGGGAUUUUUUGGGAAUUCCGGGGAAGCUGAGGCACGGUGGGGGAGGGGAAUUCUGGGGGUCCCAACCCGGAUUAGACAGGGCUGGGGCUGAGGCCUGGAGUAACCCCAGAGUAACCCUGGAGUAACCCUGGAGUAUUGUGGGUGUAUUGCUGGAGUAACCCUGGAGUAUUCCUGGAGUAACCCCAGAGUAUUGUGGGUGUAUUGGUGGAGUAACCCCGGAGUAACCCCAGAGCAUUGUUGGUGUAUUGGUGGAGUAACCCUGGAGUAACCCCGGAGUAUUGUGGGUGUAUUGGUGGAGUAACCCCAGAGUAACCCCGGAGCAUUGCGAGUGUAUUGGUGGAGUAACCCUGGAGUAACCUCAGAGUAUUGUGGGUGUAUUGCUGGAGUAACCCUGGAGUAACCCGAGAGUAACCCCAGAGUAUUGUGGGUGUAUUGGUGGAGUAACCCUGGAGUAACCCCAGAGCAUUGUGGGUGUGUUGGUGGAAUAACCCUGGAGUAUUCCUGGAGUAACCCCAGAGUAUUGUGGGUGUAUUGCUGGAGUAACCCCGGAGUAACCCCAGAGUAACCCCAGAGUAUUGUGGGUGUAUUGAUGUGCUGUGUGUAGCCCCUGAGUAGGAGCUUGGGGCUGGGAUUCCAGCCUGGAGUAUCCCUGGAGUAUCCUCGGUGUAUGGGGCUGGAUGUGGGGGAUCAGGCUCUGAGUAUCCCUGGAGUAUCCUCUGAGUAAGGGGCAGAAUCUGUGCUGUGUGUAACCCCUGAGUAGGAGCUUGGGGCUGGAAUUCCCACCUGGAGUAUCCCUGGAGUACGGGGCAGAAUCUGUGCCGUGUGUAACUCCUGAGUAGGGGCUCAGGGCUGGAAUUCCCACCUGGAGUAUCCCUGGAGUAAGGGGUUGGAUGUUGUGAAUGAGGCUGAGUAUCCCUGGAGUAUCCCCAGAGUAUGGGACUGGAUGUGGGGGAUCAGGCUCAGAGUAUCCCUGGAGUAUCCUGUGAGUGAGAGGUCAAAGGUCAAACCUGGAGUAUCCCUGGAGUUUGAGGUCCAGGUCCUGGAGUAUCCCUUGAGUAAGAGGUUAAAGAUCGAGCCCUGGAGUGAGUAUC
rnacentral:lncRNA from 1 species